UCUGAUCUGAGGUCUGAUCUGAGGUCUGAUCUGAAGUCUCCUGAGUUGCAGACGGCUGUCUUUGUGCUGCUGGAUGGAGAGGAGAGCGCUGCACUGAACCAUGCCUCCCAGGUUACUAUGGCGACGGCUGCAGACACACCUGCACGUGCUUUAAUGGAGCUUUCUGUAACCACGACAACGGACGCUGCACCUGUACCCCUGGUUUCUACGGCAACUUCUGCAAAAAAGUUUGCCAUGCAGGUUUUUAUGGUCUGUCCUGUGCUGAGGAGUGUGCGUGUGAAGACCC